rnacentral:rRNA from 1 species
UGCAAGGUCCGAACCGGAAGAAAGGGAGCUUGCUCCCGGAUGUUAGCGGCGGACGGGUGAGUAACACGUGGGUAACCUGCCUGUAAGACUGGGAUAACUCCGGGAAACCGGAGCUAAUACCGGAUAGUUCCUUGAACCGCAUGGUUCAAGGAUGAAAGACGGUUUCGGCUGUCACUUACAGAUGGACCCGCGGCGCAUUAGCUAGUUGGUGAGGUAACGGCUCACCAAGGCGACGAUGCGUAGCCGACCUGAGAGGGUGAUCGGCCACACUGGGACUGAGACCGGCCCAAACUCCUACGGGAGGCAGCAGUAGGGAAUCUUCCGCAAUGGACGAAAGUCUGACGGAGCAACGCCGCGUGAGUGAUGAAGGUUUUCGGAUCGUAAAGCUCUGUUGUUAGGGAAGAACAAGUGCAAGAGUAACUGCUUGCACCUUGACGGUACCUAACCAGAAAGCCACGGCUAACUACGUGCCAGCAGCCGCGGUAAUACGUAUGUGGCAAGUGUUGUCCGGAAUUAUUGGGCGUAAAGGGCUCGCAGGAGGUAUCUUAAGUCUGAUGUGAAAGCCCCCGGCUCAACCGGGGAGGGUCAUUGGAAACUGGGAAACUUGAGUGCACAAAAGGAGAGUGGAAUUCCACGUGUAGCGGUGAAAUGCGUAGAGAUGUGGAGGAACACCAGUGGCGAAGGCGACUCUCUGGUCUGUAACUGACGCUGAGGAGCGAAAGCGUGGGGAGCGAACAGGAUUAGAUACCCUGGUAGUCCACGCCGUAAACGAUGAGUGCUAAGUGUUGGGGGGUUUCCGCCCCUUAAUGCUGCAUCUAACGCAUUAAGCACUCCGCCUGGGGAGUACGGUCGCAAGACUGAAACUCAAAGGAAUUGACGGGGGCCCGCACAAGCGGUGGAGCAUGUGUUUUAAUUCGAAGCAACGCGAAGAACCUUACCAGGUCUUGACAUCCUCUGACAACCCUAGAGAUAGGGCUUUCCCUUCGAGAACAGAAUGACAGGUGCUGCAUGGUUGUCGUCAGCUCGUGUCGUGAGAU